AGUGAACGCCGGCGGUAGGCCUAACACAUGCAAGUCGAACGGCAGCACAGUAAGAGCUUGCUCUUACGGGUGGCGAGUGGCGGACGGGUGAGGAAUACAUCGGAAUCUACUUUUUCGUGGGGGAUAACGUAGGGAAACUUACGCUAAUACCGCAUACGACCUACGGGUGAAAGCAGGGGAUCUUCGGACCUUGCGCGAUUGAAUGAGCCGAUGUCGGAUUAGCUAGUUGGCGGGGUAAAGGCCCACCAAGGCGACGAUCCGUAUCUGGUCUGAGAGGAUGAUCAGCCACACUGGAACUGAGACACGGUCCAGACUCCUACGGGAGGCAGCAGUGGGGAAUAUUGGACAAUGGGCGCAAGCCUGAUCCAGCCAUACCGCGUGGGUGAAGAAGGCCUUCGGGUUGUAAAGCCCUUUUGUUGGGAAAGAAAAGCAGCAGGUUAAUACCCCGCUGUUCUGACGGUACCCAAAGAAUAAGCACCGGCUAACUUCGUG
rnacentral:rRNA from 1 species